rnacentral:rRNA from 1 species
UACGAAGGGGGCUAGCGUUGUUCGGAUUCACUGGGCGUAAAGGGUGCGUAGGUGGUUGGGUAAGUCUGAUGUGAAAUCUCCGAGCUUAACUCGGAAAUGGCAUUGGAUACUAUUCGGCUAGAGGGUUUGAGGGGGGACUGGAAUACUUGGUGUAGCAGUGAAAUGCGUAGAUAUCAAGUGGAACACCAGUGGCGAAGGCGAGUCCCUGGAAAACUCCUGACACUGAGGCACGAAAGCUAGGGGAGCAAACAGG